rnacentral:tRNA from 1 species
UGGGGUGUAGUUUAGUGGUAGAGAGCUUGCUUAGCAUGCAUGAGGCCCUGGGUUCCAUCCCUAGUACUGCAA